CCUACGGGCGGCAGCAGUGGGGAAUAUUGCACAAUGGGGGAAACCCUGAUGCAGCGACGCCGCGUGAGUGAAGAAGUAUUUCGGUAUGUAAAGCUCUAUCAGCAGGGAAGAAAAUGACGGUACCUGAUUAAGAAGCCCCGGCUAACUACGUGCCAGCAGCCGCGGUAAUACGUAGGGGGCAAGCGUUAUCCGGAUUUACUGGGUUUAAAGGGUGCGCAGGCGGAAGCGGCAAGUUAGCGGUAAAAUUGCGGGGCUAAACCUCGCCGAGCCAUUGAAACUGCUCUUCUAGAGUGGGCGAGAAGUAUGCGGAAUGCGUGGGGUAGCGGUGAAAUGCAUAGAUAUCACGCAGAACUCCGAUUGCGAAGGCAGCAUACCGGCGCCCAACUGACGCUCAUGCACGAAAGCGUGGGUAUCGAACAGGAUUAGAUACCCGAGUAGUC
rnacentral:rRNA from 1 species